AAAAAAAUGACUGAUUAAAAAGUAUUAGUUUUUUAAACUAAAUAUAUUUU
rnacentral:tRNA from 1 species